CUAAGUUCUGAGCUGAGUCUUG
rnacentral:miRNA from 1 species